rfam:Homo sapiens chromosome 16, GRCh38 reference primary assembly.
GCUGGGCAUGUUGGCUCGUGCCUGUAAUCCCAGCACUUUGGGAGGCUGAGGCAGGAGGCUCGCUUGAGCCCAAGAGUUCGAGACCAGCCUGGGCAACAUAGUGAGACCCUGUCUCUA